AUUUAUAUAGUUUAACUAAAACAUUACAUUUUCAAUGUAAAAAUAACAUUAGUUUAUA
rnacentral:tRNA from 1 species